AUUGGAGGGCAAGUCUGGUGCCAGCAGCCGCGGUAAUUCCAGCUCCAAUAGCGUAUAUUAAAGUUGUUGCGGUUAAAAAGCUCGUAGUUGGAUCUCAGUCCAUGUUAAGUGGUCCACUUGCCGGUGGCUACUACUUAGCUGGACAUCUUACAGACCCGUCUUGUGAUGCUCUUCAUCGGGUGUCGCAAGCGAUCUGUACAUUUACCUUGAAAAAAUUAGAGUGCUCAAAGCAGGCUCUUAAGCCCGAAUAAUCUUGCAUGGAAUAAUGGAAUAGGACCUCGGUUCUAUUUUAUUGGUUUUAAGAAUCUGAGGUAAUGAUUAAGAGGGACAGACGGGGACAUUCGUAUUGCGGCGCUAGAGGUGAAAUUCUUGGACCGUCGCAAGACGUACUACAGCGAAAGCAUUUGUCAAGAAUGUAUUCAUUAAUCAAGAACGAAAGUUAGAGGUUCGAAGGCGAUCAGAUACCGCCCUAGUUCUAACCU
rnacentral:rRNA from 1 species